AUGACUUACCCAGGAUCACAUGGCCAAUGUGCACAUAUGCGUGUGUGUAGGGGGGUAGAACUGGAACCCAGUUCUUCUGAACUCCAAGACCUCAGUGGGGCCCCCAGAACAAGGAGGACUUCAAUCUAACACUUCUCAUCCACUGGAGGAAGUUUAGGAAGCAGACCUGCCCAGCAUGUUCCCCUCUAAGGCUCCUCAUGGAAGAAAUCAGAGGCUCAGAGGUCACUGAGGCCAAAUCCCUCAUUUUCCAGAAAAGGAAACUGAGGCCCAGAGAAGGGAGCUGUGUGAGGUUGGGCAAGUCACCAAAUCUAUGGUGCUACGAUCUCUGUGGACAGGAUGGCGAGAUGGGAGCAAGAUGAUCGUACAGUUAGCUGGAUCUGAGGGAACUCUGGAUUCUUAAAGGGCCUUUGCAUUGGCUGCGUCCCAUGCCUGGAAAGCGCUCCCUCCUCAUCCUCUUAGAAGCUCCAACUUCCUGCAAAGCUCAGCUCUGCCACCUUCUACAGUAAGCUUUACCAAGUCUCCCCACUGCUAGGGUCUAAAAACAAAAAUUACCUUGUUCUAAUUUGUUUGCAAACAUGUUGUCUUCUGAUAGAAUGUAAGCUUCUCAAGAGCUGGGACUGUUUCCUUUUUGGCCUUAUAGUCCUAGGACCUAACACAGCACGUGGCACAUAACAGGCACUUAAUAAAUGUUGGAUUAAAACUAGA